rnacentral:rRNA from 1 species
AGAGUUUGAUCCUGGCUCAGGAUGAAUUCUAGCUACAGGCUUAACACAUGCAAGUCGAGGGGCAGCAUGGUCUUAGCUUGCUAAGGCCGAUGGCGACCGGCGCACGGGUGAGUAACGCGUAUCCAACCUGCCGUCCAGUAGGGGACAGCCCGUAGAAAUGCGGAUUAAUACCCUAUGUUCUCCGAGGAUGACAUCAGAUUCGGAGUAAAGAUUCAUCGCUGGACGAUGGGGAUGCGUCUGAUUAGGCAGCAGGCGGGGCAACGGCCCACCUGGCCAACGAUCAGUAGGGGUUCUGAGAGGAAGGUCCCCCACAUUGGAACUGAGACACGGUCCAAACUCCUACGGGAGGCAGCAGUGAGGAAUAUUGGUCAAUGGGCGCGAGCCUGAACCAGCCAAGUAGCGUGAGGGAAGACUGCCCUACGGGUUGUAAACCUCUUUUGUUCGGGAAUAAAGUGCGGCACGCGUGCCGUUUUGUAUGUACCGUUCGAAUAAGGACCGGCUAAUUCCGUGCCAGCAGCCGCGGUAAUACGGAAGGUCCAGGCGUUAUCCGGAUUUAUUGGGUUUAAAGGGAGCGCAGGCGGCCCGUUAAGCGUGACGUGAAAUGUAGUUGCUCAACAUCUGCACUGCGUCGCGAACUGGUGGGCUUGAGUUCACGGUAGGAAGGCGGAAUUCGUGGUGUAGCGGUGAAAUGCUUAGAUAUCACGAGGAACCCCGAUUGCGAAGGCAGCUUUCCGCAGUGUUACUGACGCUCAUGCUCGAAAGCGCGGGUAUCGAACAGGAUUAGAUACCCUGGUAGUCCACGCUGUAAACG